rnacentral:tRNA from 1 species
UCCGGGGUAGCUCAAUGGUAGAGCGGGUGACUGUUAAUCACUAGGUUGGAGGUUCGAAUCCUCUCCCCGGAGCCA